CCUACGGGUGGCAGCAGUGGGGAAUAUUGGUCAAUGGACGAGAGUCUGAACCAGCCAAGUCGCGUGAAGGAUGACUGCCCUAUGGGUUGUAAACUUCUUUUAUAUGGGAAUAAAACGUUCCACGUGUGGGAUUUUGUAUGUACCAUAUGAAUAAGGCUCGGCUAACGCCGUUCCAGCAGCCGCGGUAAUACGGAGGAUCCGAGCGUUAUCCGGAUUUAUUGGGUUUAAAGGGAGCGUAGGUGGAUUUUUAAGUCAGUUGUGAAAGUUUGCGGCUCAACCGUAAAAUUGCAGUUGAAACUGGCAGUCUUGAGUACAGUAGAGGUGGGCGGAAUUCGUGGUGUAGCGGUGAAAUGCUUAGAUAUCACGAAGAACUCCGAUUGCGAAGGCAGUUCACUGGACUGCAACUGACACUGAGGCUCGAAAGUGUGGGUAUCAAACAGGAUUAGAUACCCUAGUAGUC
rnacentral:rRNA from 1 species